AUUGAACGCUGGCGGCAGGCUUAACACAUGCAAGUCGAGCGGGGGAAGGUAGCUUGCUACCGGACCUAGCGGCGGACGGGUGAGUAAUGCUUAGGAAUCUGCCUAUUAGUGGGGGACAACAUCUCGAAAGGGAUGCUAAUACCGCAUACGUCCUACGGGAGAAAGCAGGGGAUCUUCGGACCUUGCGCUAAUAGAUGAGCCUAAGUCGGAUUAGCUAGUUGGUGGGGUAAAGGCCUACCAAGGCGACGAUCUGUAGCGGGUCUGAGAGGAUGAUCCGCCAAACUGGGACUGAGACACGGCCCAGACUCCUACGGGAGGCAGCAGUGGGGAAUAUUGGACAAUGGGGGGAACCCUGAUCCAGCCAUGCCGCGUGUGUGAAGAAGGCCUUAUGGUUGUAAAGCACUUUAAGCGAGGAGGAGGAUACUCUAGUUAAUACCUAGGGAUAGUGGACGUUACUCGCAGAAUAAGCACCGGCUAACUCUGUGCCAGCAGCCGCAGUAA
rnacentral:rRNA from 1 species